GAACAUUCUUUAUUUUACUCAUCAAAUACAGAGGUGCAUUUGAGAUGGUCUUCGGCAUUCAUAAAAUAGCUUUUGCAGCUGCAUCGUUUGUUCUUCCUCCCUCACGCUGUCGCCGUCAGAACUCUCUAGCCUUCAUGUUGUCUCCAUCAAAUGCAUCUGAGCCUAUUGAUCAUGGAUAAAGGUUGGAUGCAUGAACCAAAAUUCUCUAAAAGAUAUGUUGAGGGUGCCCAAUCUUUCAUGAAACUUGUUCAAUCCCACUUUGAUAAUUCCAAAGUUCGAUGCCCAUGUAAAGAUUGUUUGAAUUUAUUUUUUCAAACACAAGAAGUUGUAUGACCACCUAUUGAUCCAAGGAAUUAUAAGAAGUUCCGUGUAAUGGA